UAAAUCAUUAGAGGUUGCAACCAACAUCAGUAACCAGUGGAGUUCCUACUUGAACUUUGAAGCUGGCAAAAGGGGCGGUUGCCGAAGCACCAAGUGAAGUAGGGCUUGGCGCGCUGGGACUUGGCUUAAUAGGCUUUGGACUGUCGCAGCUAACAUGUCGGCUGCGGGGCGCUAACGACAAU
rfam:Lactobacillus diolivorans DSM 14421 NODE_224, whole genome shotgun sequence.